rnacentral:misc_RNA from 1 species
GUUGGCUUGUAUGGGCAUGUCGGAUCCCUGCUUGGGCAGCGACGACAUGCCUUGCUGGCCUCUUCAGUUGGUUGCCCAAGUGCGUGCUAGCCUUGGCCGUUCUUGGUUUCCUGUGUUGCAUACCUACAUUGAGGGCAUUCAAUUGGCUACAACGUCCCAUUUUCGCCUUUCGCUGCACCUCUUGGGGUUGCGGUGCGGGGUGGACCUCAAAGCAUUCGCCGUGUUCCUCCUUCCGUUCGUGUCAACACAUGUUCGGGUUGUUGGCCCAUGGCGUUGUGCUCGAUCUCUCGGAUGCGGAAAAUCAAGUGGGCACGAGGCCCUUGGCCCCUAUUUGCCCCGAAACAAGCGUUCUACGCUUUGUGCGAACGACGAUCGRUGCCGUUUUGAUCAUGUCCACGUGACUUGACUCAUGCGGUGCCGGCGUCGAUAAGGAAUGCUAC